GUAGACAUGUGCACACAUGGACACACUUAAUAAACCAAUGAUAUUUUGGUGGAAUUUUUAUUCCACCUCAACUUAUUUCAUCUUUAAUAUAUAAAGUGCUCAUCUCAACUCAUAAAUCAGGACAUGCAUUGUGAAGACCAUAGGUUGAAUUUCUUUUCUUAACUGCAGCCCAUCAACCCCCUUUCUGAGUGGCAGCUCUGGGAAGACAGGCUGGCUCCUGCAUCAAAAGCUGUGGUCCAGAAGCCCUAAUCUGUCUGCAUCUAAGGAUGUCCUGGCUGGGAAAGGGGUGGCCAGGACAGCAUGCCUCUCCAUAGGCCCAGAGGCUCCUCCUUCCUCCAGAGGCUCAGUAUCGGGGUGGCUGCUAGGAAUUCAGGGUUCACUCUUCCCUAUUGUCCUUCUCCCCAUUAGGUUCCCUUCAAAGGAAGAAAUACCAGGAGAGGCAAUAACACCUGCUCAGUGCCUGUGUCCCAGGCACUGUCCUGAAACUUUAUGUUCAUUAAUUCCAUUUAAUCCUCAUAAGAAAUCUAUUGAUUACAUUCUCACUUUUUAGAUGAGGAAACUACAGGCAUAGAAAGGCUCUGUCACCUGCCCAAGGCUUGCAUGGUGUGACUCUAGCAUGCCUAUGGGCACUUCUGAAGGUGCUUUAGGGGUGGCCGUGCAAAGGCCAGGCAUGGUAUCAGAGCACACACAGGAGCCUGUGCAGCUGGGCUGCUUGCUGCAGGUUUGUGGCUCUAGCUCUGGACAGUGGUAGAAGAAGGGGGUUAGAAUCUGUGUCUUGCCCAUUGUAUCAGUUAACUUCUGUUGCGUUAUAAAAAAACGCUCUCCCAACACAUACCCACGUGGUGUUUAACACAACAAUUUUGUUAUGCCUCUGGUUAUUCAGGGGCUCAGGAAUUCAGAUGACCACAGCAUGGAUGGCUUUUCUCUGCUCCUUGACUUCUGGGACCUCGGCUGGUAAGGGACUUCUCAGUUGGAAUCACUGCCUGGAACUUGCGGCAGGAAUUUAGGACUGCCCACUGGCAUAUUCACAGGUAGCUUCCCUGUGUGGUGUUGUUUCUUCACAGCAUGGUGGCCUUGGAGUGGGUGGAUUUCUUAUAUGGCAGUCCUGAGAUCAGGGAAGUUCCCACAAAUAAAGCAGAGGCUUCAUGGACCUUUUUGACUUCAUCUUAGAGUCACAGACUGAUACUCCCACCAUGUUCUACUGCUUGAAUAUGAUUUAAGGGAAGGGACACAGACCCUCCAGUGAUCAUUGGCAGGAAUGCCCAAGAAUUUCAUGGUUGUUGUUAUUUCUCUUUUUGGGGGAUUGGGGGCUGGGGAUUGAACUCAGGGACACUUGACCACUAAGCCAUAUCCCCACCCUAUUUUGUAUUUUAUUUAGAGACAGAGUCUCUCUAAGAUGCUUAGUGCCUUGCUCUUGCUGAGGCUGGUUUUGAACAUGAGAUCCUCCUGCCUCAGCCUCCAAAGCCCCUGGGAUUACAGGUGUGUGCUGCAGUGCCAGUGCCUGGCCCAUGGUUAUUAUUUUUAACUGCCAUAUCUGUCGUUCCUCAAAUGGGUGUUAGCUGCCUAAAAUAAACU
rnacentral:lncRNA from 1 species